rnacentral:rRNA from 1 species
UACGUAGGGAGCAAGCGUUGUCCGGAAUCAUUGGGCGUAAAGCGCGCGUAGGCGGCCCUGUAAGUCCGUUGUGAAAGUCAAAGGCUCAACCUUUGAAAGCCGAUGGAUACUGCAGGGCUAGAGUCCGGAAGAGGCGAGUGGAAUUCCUGGUGUAGCGGUGGAAUGCGCAGAUAUCAGGAGGAACACCAAUAGCGAAGGCUGCUCGCUGGGACGGUACUGACGCUAAGGCGCGAAAGCGUGGGGAGCGAACAGG